rnacentral:rRNA from 1 species
AGCAGCCGCGGUAAUUCCAGCUCCAAUAGCGUAUAUUAAAGUUGUUGCAGUUAAAAAGCUCGUAGUUGAAUUUCGGGGUUCUACCGUUGGUCGGGCUUUGUUUGUACUGGCGUGUAGAAUUUUUACCUUUUGGGGAACCAUCAUGUUAUUAAUUUAACGUGGUGGGAAAUCAGGACCUUUACCUUGAAAAAAUUAGAGUGUUCAAAGCCGGCUUAUGUUUGAAUACAUUAGCAUGGAAUAAUAAAAUAGGACGGUGGUCCUAUUUUGUUGGUUUUUAGGAUCGACGUAAUGAUUAAUAGGGAUAGUUGGGGGCAUUAGUAUUCAAUUGUCAGAGGUGAAAUUCUUGGAUUUAU